rnacentral:rRNA from 3 species
UACGUAGGGUGCAAGCGUUGUCCGGAAUUACUGGGCGUAAAGAGCUCGUAGGCGGUUUGUCACGUCGUCUGUGAAAUCCUCCAGCUCAACUGGGGGCGUGCAGGCGAUACGGGCAGACUUGAGUACUACAGGGGAGACUGGAAUUCCUGGUGUAGCGGUGAAAUGCGCAGAUAUCAGGAGGAACACCGGUGGCGAAGGCGGGUCUCUGGGUAGUAACUGACGCUGAGGAGCGAAAGCAUGGGGAGCAAACAGG